rnacentral:rRNA from 1 species
AUAUCAAUAAGCGGAGGAAAAGAAACCAACUGGGAUUACCCUAGUAACGGCGAGUGAAGCGGUAACAGCUCAAAUUUGAAAUCUGGACCUUUCACGGGUCCGAGUUGUAAUUUGUAGAGGAUGUUUCGGCUAAGGCUUUGGCUUAAGUUUCUUGGAACAGAACGUCAUAGAGGGUGAGAAUCCCGUCUAGAACCGAUCGGCCGCGUUCAUGUGAAACUCCUUCGACGAGUCGAGUUGUUUGGGAAUGCAGCUCUAAAAUGGGUGGUAAAUUUCAUCUAAAGCUAAAUAUUGGCCAGAGACCGAUAGCGCACAAGUAGAGUGAUCGAAAGAUGAAAAGUCACUUUGAAAAGAGAGUUAAACAGUAU